rnacentral:rRNA from 1 species
UACGGGGGGGGCAAGCGUUGUUCGGAAUUACUGGGCGUAAAGGGCUCGUAGGUGGCCAACUAAGUCACACGUGAAAUCCCUCGGCUCAACCGGGGAACUGCGUGUGAUACUGGCGGGCUUGAAUUCGGGAGAGGGAUGUGGAAUUCCAGGUGUAGCGGUGAAAUGCGUAGAUAUCUGGAGGAACACCGGUGGCGAAGGCGGCAUCCUGGACCGAGAUUGACGCUGAGGCGCGAAAGCUAGGGGAGCAAACGGG